GACGUAGGGCGCGAGCGUUGUCCGGAUUUAUUGGGCGUAAAGAGCUCGUAGGCGGCUUGUUGCGUCAGCUGUGAAAACCCGCAGCUCAACUGUGGGCUUGCAGCUGAUACGGGCAGGCUUGAGUUCGGUAGGGGAGACUGGAAUUCCUGGUGUAGCGGUGAAAUGCGCAGAUAUCAGGAGGAACACCGGUGGCGAAGGCGGGUCUCUGGGCCGAUAUCGAGCGCUGAGGAGCGAAAGCGUGGGGAGCGAACAGG
rnacentral:rRNA from 1 species